AAACCCCCUCGCCGAAAGACUAAGGUUUCCUGAUCAACGCUAAUCGGAUCAGGGUCAGUCGGGUCCUAAGGCUCAGCCGAACGGCGAUGCCGAUGGCAGAAACGGUUAAUAUUCCGUUACUACCUUCAGGAGUGACGUGGAGACGCAGUAGUGACAGUGCCGCCAUCUGACGGAAUAGAUGGUUGAAGGGUGUAGGAGUCGAUCAUGGCAGGCAAAUCCACCAUGAGAUCCGAACCUGAUAGUAUGCCGCGUCCUUCGGGACAAGGCAAUAGUGCGCGUAAGCAUGCUGCCGAGAAAAUCCGCUAAACUUAAUCCUGCAGGUACCCGUACCGCAAACGGACACACGUAGUCGGGAUGAAUAUUCUAAGGCGCUUGAGUGAUUCACGGUUAAGGAACUAGGCAAACUGACCCUGUAACUUCGGGAUAAAGGGUCCCUACCCUUUUAUGGGAGGGCGCAGAGAAUCGGUCCAGGCAACUGUUUAACAAAAACACAGGGCUGUGCCAAAUCGAAAGAUCCAGUAUACAGCCUGACACCUGCCCGGUGCUGGAAGGUUAAGAGGAGAUGUCAUCGAUAAGAGAAGCGUUGAAUUGAAGCCCCAGUAAACGGCGGCCGUAACUAUAACGGUCCUAAGGUAGCGAAAUUCCUUGUCGGGUAAGUUCCGACCCGCACGAAAGGCGUAAUGAUUUGGGCACUGUCUCGACAAUGCACCCGGUGAAAUUGAAAUACCAGUGAAGAUGCUGGUUACCUGCGCCAGGACGGAAAGACCCCAUGGAGCUUUACUCCAGCUUGAUACUGGGAUUCGAUAUUGCAUGUACAGGAUAGGUGGGAGACUUUGAACUGAUGACGCCAGUUGUCAGGGAGUCACUGUUGGGAUACCACCCUUGUAGUAUUGGAUUUCUAACCAGCAGCCGUGAACCGGCUGGGGGACAAUGUCAGGUGGGGAGUUUGACUGGGGCGGUCGCCUCCGAAAGGGUAUCGGAGGCGCUCAAAGGUUCCCUCAGAAUGGUUGGAAACCAUUCGAAGAGUGCAAAGGCAGAAGGGAGCUUGACUGCGACACCGACGGGUGGAGCAGGUACGAAAGUAGGACUUAGUGAUCCGGUGGUAUAAAGUGGGAUUGCCAUCGCUCAACGGAUAAAAGCUACCCUGGGGAUAACAGGCUUAUCACUCCCAAGAGUUCACAUCGACGGAGUGGUUUGGCACCUCGAUGUCGGCUCAUCGCAUCCUGGGGCUGAAGUAGGUCCCAAGGGUUGGGCUGUUCGCCCAUUAAAGCGGUACGCGAGCUGGGUUCAGAACGUCGUGAGACAGUUCGGUCCCUAUCUGUCGUGGGCGUAGGAUAUUUGAAAGGAGCUGUCCCUAGUACGAGAGGACCGGGAUGGACGCACCUCUGGUGCACCAGUUGUCACGCCAGUGGCACAGCUGGGCAGCUAUGUGCGGAACGGAUAAACGCUGAAAGCAUCUAAGCGUGAAGCCGCCUUCAAGAUAAGAUAUCCCAUAGCAUAAGCUAGUAAGACCCCUCAUGGACUAAGAGGUUGAUAGGCUGCAUGUGUAAGCGUGGUGACACGUUUAGCUUGGCAGUACUAAUAGGUCGAGGGCUUGACUUU
rnacentral:rRNA from 1 species